AGUGAACGCUGGCGGUAGGCCUAACACAUGCAAGUCGAACGGCAGCACAGUAAGAGCUUGCUCUUACGGGUGGCGAGUGGCGGACGGGUGAGGAAUACAUCGGAAUCUACUUUUUCGUGGGGGAUAACGUAGGGAAACUUACGCUAAUACCGCAUACGACCUACGGGUGAAAGCAGGGGAUCUUCGGACCUUGCGCGAUUGAAUGAGCCGAUGUCGGAUUAGCUAGUUGGCGGGGUAAAGGCCCACCAAGGCGACGAUCCGUAGCUGGUCUGAGAGGACGAUCAGCCACACUGGAACUGAGACACGGUCCAGACUCCUACGGGAGGCAGCAGUGGGGAAUAUUGGACAAUGGGCGCAAGCCUGAUCCAGCCAUACCGCGUGGGUGAAGAAGGCCUUCGGGUUGUAAAGCCCUUUUGUUGGGAAAGAAAAGCAGUAGGUUAAUACCCCGCUGUUCUGACGGUACCCAAAGAAUAAGCACCGGCUAACUUCGUG
rnacentral:rRNA from 1 species